rnacentral:sRNA from 1 species
GAAGCGGGUAGCCCGCUCCCGGCCCACCGGGCCGGGGUAAGACGGGUGCUCCAGAUCCGCAAGGGUCUGGUGCC